rnacentral:lncRNA from 1 species
AAACUCACUUUUUUUGGACUCGAUGGGGGAGUUGGUGAGACGUUGGACGAGUUGUUAAGGGGUUAGUAGGUUGUAGGGGUUGGGUGAACCAGUUCGUUGAGCUGGAGAAGCUCUCUAUUUGGGCCCUCACUAGGCGAGUGGUCCGUGGUCGUUGGGCAAGUGUUUAGGGAUAGUUUGAUUAUUUUGAUUUUUAUUUCUCAUUUGUGUUUGGAUUUAAAUGAUGUAAUAUUUUAUCUGAUACUU